UACAGAGGUCUCAAGCGUUGUUCGGAUUCAUUGGGCGUAAAGGGUGCGUAGGCGGCGCGGUAAGUCAGGUGUGAAAUUUCGAGGCUUAACUUCGAAACUGCAUUCGAUACUGCCGUGCUUGAGGACUGGAGAGGAGACUGGAAUUUACGGUGUAGCGGUGAAAUGCGUAGAUAUCGUAAGGAAGACCAGUGGCGAAGGCGGGUCUCUGGACAGUUCCUGACACUGAGACACGAAGGCCAGGGGAGCAAACGGG
rnacentral:rRNA from 1 species